GAUGAACGCUGGCGGCGUGCCUAAUACAUGCAAGUCGAGCGAACAGACGAGGAGCUUGCUCCUCUGACGUUAGCGGCGGACGGGUGAGUAACACGUGGAUAACCUACCUAUAAGACUGGGAUAAUUUCGGGAAACCGGCGCUAAUACCGGAUAAUAUACUGCACCGCAUUGUUCAAUAGUGAAAGACGGUUUUGCUGUCUCUUAUAGAUGGAUCUGCGCCGCAUGAGCUAGUUGGUAAGUUAACGGCUUAUCAAGGCAACGAUGCGUAGCCGACCUGAGAGGGUGAUAGGCGGCACUAGAGCUGGGACACGGACCAGACUCCUACGGGAGGCAGCAGUAGGGAAUCUGCCGCAAUGGGCGAAAGCCUGGCGGAGCAACGCCGCGUGAGUGAUGACGGUCUUCGGAUCGUAAAGCUCUGUUAUUAGGGGAGAACAGAUGUGUAAGUAACUAUGCACGUCUUGACGGUACCUAAUCAGAAAGCCACGGCUAACUACGUG
rnacentral:rRNA from 1 species